rnacentral:rRNA from 1 species
UACGUAGGGUGGCAAGCGUUGUCCGGAUUUAUUGGGUUUAAAGGGUGACGUAGGCGGUCUAUUAAGUCAGUGUCUGAAAUAUCCCGGCUUAACCGGGGAGGGUGGCAUUGAUACUGAUGGACUUGAGUGCAGUCGAGGUAGGCGGAAUUGGACGGUGUAGCGGUGAAAUGCUUAGAUAUCGUCAAGAACACCGAUAGUGAAG